CAACCCCCUGCUGUGUGUAGGGUCACCAACCACCAGACCAGGCUGCACAGAGCCACAUCCAGCCUGGCCUCGAAUGCCUCCAGGACAUCCAUUUCUGUCUUCAAAUGGGUUUCUCCUCAUCACAAGAACUGGGUGAUCAGAGCACUGUGAUGGUGUCCAACAGAGCUGCGCUUUGGUUGCUCUUUGGUUCCCCUCUUCCCGUGGGAAGUAGAAUCCUGCACUCCCAUCUUUCAGAUCCCUUCUCCCUGCCUGCCAUCCCAGAUGUCCCGGAGCAGCAUCCUUCACUCCAAGAAGCACAGAAGCGGCUGAUGGCAGCAUCCCACCACGCUGUCCCUGCCCACAGGGAUCCCACCUGCAGCCAUGGCAACCGGCCUCGAGAGCGAAUUCCCCGCAUCCUCCCUCCUGUCCCUGGGGUCUGAAUUCCUGCCGACCCCCCCAGGGCAGGCACAAGGGGGCUGAGCCCUGCCUGGCCCUGCCGUGCACCCACAAACAGCCAAGCAGACCCAGCAGACACCCCCGAGCCUCCUCCCGGACCAAACAGCACUGUUUGCUGCUGGCAUUUUUGGGAGCAGCAUCGGGGUGGAAUGCGGCCCUUGGCGUCGGGACAGGAGUUGACAUUCCCAGCUCGGGCUGAAGAAUGUGGACAUGGUGUUCACUCCAAGCCCUGGAGUUCAUUCACCCACGUGAGGGGAACACCAGGACCUCAGUGGCCGGGAGCUCCCUUCCCAAUGCAGCAAACACGGGCUCUGCUAUCCCCACCACCACCACCUCCAUUACACCUAAUGGAGAGCUGCAGCUGCUAUUGACACGCUUCAGAAUGCCACACAUUGCCUGGCGUCCCUUUUGUUUGGAGCAGGGUCUCACCAUCCAGAAUAGUUUUGCAUCCCCGCUGUUCUCUCCGCUUCGUGGGGCUGAAAUCAGACACGGUGCAGUUACUCACCGUUUACUAAGACUGGUUUGCAUGGGGCUCUGCCUCUUAACAUAGCAAAGCUUCAUCAACGGCGGUGAUACGACACAGCGAAGGCAGAAAGAUCCCCACUGAUUCACCACCCCAUUACAUCAGUGCAACCACGUCGGGGAAAUGCUUCAUCCCACAGCUUGGAAAGGCUGCCGGAGCCCCGAGAUUGCAGGGAAAGCUGGGGAGUUUCGGAAGGAUGUGAGGAAUUCUCCAUUUGAAUCACAGAAUCCUUAUGUUUUCAAAGACCCCUCAGAUCCCCAAGUCCAAUGCAGCCCACCCCACUGUGCCCACUGCACUCAGUGAGCUGCGGAGCAAUGAGGGCUCCCCUGAGCCUCCUCUUCUCCAGACUGACCCACCCCAGUUCCUUCAGCUGCUCCUCAUCACACUUUGUGCCCCACAGCCCUCACAGCUCCGCUGCCCUCUGGACAGCAUCAGUGUCGUUCAAUGUAUCAGCGUCAUUCAGUGUCUUCCAGCAUAUUGAGCCACAGUUUGAUGAACUUCCCCCUUAGGGAACGGGGCUUCAGGAGGAGGUGUGUAGGAUGGCAGUGGGCAUCACACAAAGCUGUGUGCUUGAAGAGAUGGUGAUGCUGCCCCUCUGCAUUGCUCCACAGCCCAGCCCUGCUCCUGGCAAAGCUCUGUGUGUUGCGCAAGGAGCAGGAGGCCGUGCAGGACCUGGAGCAGGCAGCAGGGCCGCUUGCCUUGACACGUUGCAGCAAGCCAGCUCUUCCUAGUCACACUGACAGCGCAGCGUUCCCCAAGCUCAAGACAUUGAAAGACAUCGCUGCUCCCUGCAGCUCCCUAAAGGAGGGUGCACUGAGUGCCCAGCACCCACGAGCUCAGCAGCUCAUUUCAGGGCAGGGUCACCCUGGAUGCCUGGGGAUGUAAAAGUGGCUGCAGCCGAUGCUCCGGUCCUCCCCUAAAAACGCAGACAGGCGUCUCAGCUGUGGGGCCAUCACCUGAAAUAGCUUGGGGCAGCUCUAUUUGGGGACAGCGCUGCUGCUGAGCCCGGCCAUGGGCUCCUGCCCUGCUCCGAGCUGUGUGUGCUGGGACAAACCCUCCCGGAGGAGGAGGAAGCCGGGCCAGUUUUCCAGAUUAUUUCAUUUUCUUAGAAUUUCCUCCAUCGGUUCCAUUUUAUGAUGAUGAUUAUUAAUUACUAAUUAUUCUCCUUCUUCCA